rnacentral:rRNA from 1 species
UACGAAGGGUGCAAGCGUUACUCGGAAUUACUGGGCGUAAAGCGUGCGUAGGCGGUUCGUUAAGUCCGUUGUGAAAGCCCUGGGCUCAACCUGGGAAUGGCAGUGGAUACUGGCGAGCUAGAGUGUGAUAGAGGAUGGUGGAAUUCCCGGUGUAGCGGUGAAAUGCGUAGAGAUCUGGAGGAAUACCGGUGGCGAAGGCGGCCCCCUGGACAAAGACUGACGCUCAGGUGCGAAAGCGUGGGGAGCAAACAGG